rnacentral:tRNA from 1 species
GGGGUUGUGGCUCAAGUGGUAGAGUGCUCACUUAGCACCUGUGAGGCAUGAGUUCAAUCCUCAGCACCUCA